GUCGUUUGCUGCAAAAGUAAGGCCCCGUCUCGGCUCUGGAGGGGGGAGCACGUACGUACGUACGUACGUGCGUUCGGACAAAUUCGGAUGAAACUGUGAACUGUUUUCGCUCGGCGAAAUUCACGCGACAUGAAUUCGUGCGAGGCAGCCAAACCAGCAGCACCACCGAUCGGGAGCUGGCGAGAUGGCCGAAUGGUCGCGCGAUCAUGGAUGUAUUUUGGUUUUGGUCGCUUGGUUUUCGGUUCGAUUGUACUGUAUGUGCGGAACAUGGAUCUGUUUUUUAGGUGGGAAGCAUGCAUGUGAGCUUGGGGCUUUGGGAGUGCGCUGUCGCCUUCAUGGCACGUGAGAUGCCUAUCGUUUCCAACUUUGGAUCGUGAUCCAUCCAUCGAUCGAUCGGUCAGUACCGGAGAAAGAAAGUUCACCGCAGAGGGUUACAUCACGCUUCCCCUCUCGCACACACCACGGCAGAUAGCGAGAAGGGAAAGUAUCAUUAUACUACUAGUAUAUUCCAUUGGGUGAAGCAGAAGGUAGCAGCCGGAAGAGCUAGCUAGGAGAACCGAAUCUUGUGAGCGCCGUUGAGGUGUUUCGCAGCCGCGGCCAUCUGCCUGGUCGGGCCGUCGCCGGCGACCGGCUCGCCGUGGCCGCCGCCAUCAGAGCCGCCGCAGAAGCUCGCCAGCCACGACGCCAGCGCCGCCGGCCAGGAGAAGAAGCUCUGUGGUUCGUACUCCAUCAUCACAUGCACCUCUCCCACGACGGUGUUUAGCACUCGAGUUGUGAAAACUGCGCAAGAACUGAAGCGAAGCUUUGGUUCGGCUGACCGUUGUGGUUUGGUCACACUUGUUUAUUACCCACCCCUUUUAUAGCGAAAAGAUGCUCCGUGGAGACGUGCUAGCUGGAGUGGAGACGAGUUGCUUGGCGAUGAAGUCGCAACGUGCGGGAUUUUGGGUUGGUUCGUGGACUGCUCUCCGUCUCCCGCCGGUCAAGGCGAGGCGGUGAAGGCGAUGUGUGCCAAGGAACGUUCGGGUGUGUGUGCAGUGUCGACAGGUC
rnacentral:rRNA from 1 species